rnacentral:misc_RNA from 1 species
ACUUGAUAUGAUUUGUAUGACUUGCAUAAAGAUGAUGCAUUUCAUUUCUAAGGAUGCAUUAGAAUUAGAUAGUUAUAGAAAUUGUAUGUAAAAUAAAUAUUUACUCUUUGGGUCAAACGCUCACUUAUGUUCACCAUAUUUUUCCAGGCUAUAGGAGGAUUAUUGUUGUGGUUAAUCUGCUUUUCUCCUUCGCAGGUCGUCUAUUCAUAUUUGUAUAAUUCUGUUAACUUAUAAAAUUCUGCAUGUGUUAGAAAUAUUCAUUUGAAUUGGGUCUGUAAUAUAAUUACCAUGUUGGACCUAUAAACUUAUUAUAUGUAUGCAUGUUGGACUGGGUGAGGGAGUUGAGCUCCCAUUUAUUUUUAUGAC